AUCAAAAAUCUUUUGACUCAUCCAAAGGAUGGUACCUACGUGGAGCUGCUCGAUUCUUCUCAGCAUCAAACACCUUCUGGCUCAUUCAGCUCUCUUGGAGUGGGUGCUACAGGCUGAAUCAUCACCAUUUCCUGUGAGGGUGGCCAACAUGGCUAAUGAUAAUUCCCAGGUUUACGCCUUGGACUUUCUGCCACAGAAGGAGUCCCAUUGUUCUCCCUCCAAGUUCCAAACAUUGAGAAGAGUUGUAAGUGGCCCAGUUGACCUCUGGACCAACUGAUGACAGGAUCUUGUAAGAUGAUAUUACAAGGGUUCAGAUCUUAUAAGAACUUGACUGCAGUUGACCACAGGUAACUGAAACCACGGAUGAGAGAGGAUGAGUGUAGUAGAUUUGAUCACUCCCAAAAUGCUGAAGUAGAGAGCGGUUGGAAGACAACUAGUCAGCCCUUACGAUGCUACAAGCAUUGCACUAGGAAUUUUGUAGACAUCACCUCAAAGGAGAAGCAAUAAAAACUAUGAUUAACCUGCAACAGCGACAUUUUGCCCAUAAACUCUGUUAGGUUUCAGAGAAUGUCCUUGAGGAUUCCAAGCUAGCAUGCCUUUUUCCAACUGCUGCUUCUCCAAGGGUGGGUUGCACCCUUAACUUCCUGAUCUGAUGUCUGUGAAACAAAGGCGCCGGCAUAGAACAGUGGGAAAGAGACAUGUUCUGAAGCCAGGGGGACCUCAGUUUACCUUCUAUCCCGGCCACUUACUAGUUGAAUGAUCUUAGACAAAUCAGCAACCCAUUUUACCAUCAGUUUUCUUCUCUGUAAAACGUGGCUAAAAUAUAUACAAUAUAGGAUUUGGGGAGAAUUGAAAGAGUGUAUGUCUACAAAAUGUACAUCACGGUGUCUGGCUCAUAAUCAUUCAAUAAAUGUUAGUUUCUUGGUUAUGGAAGUAACAAAUGAAAUAAGGCAAAAUUCUUAUAUUAAGUUCAAUGCUUUGCUCUUUUCCACACUAAAAUCUAAUACCAUUCAGAAUGGAAAAAUUCUCAAAUAAAAUGGAGCACAAGUUUACAUAGAAAAAUAAAAAGGAAAGCACUGAAGUUAUUAGCACCAUACCUGAAACCAAAAUUCUAUUGAAAAAAAAAAAGCAGCUGUUUGUUCUGUCAACUAUUUCUCUUGGAGGAAUCUUCCAGCAGCCUCACCUUGCGAGUUUCCAUUUCAUGCUUCAGUCUGCAGAGGUGCUCACGUAGUUUGUCAUUAAAUUCUGUUAGAGGACAGUGGCAGAAACGCUGAGGAACCUGACACAUCUUUCACCAUUUACAAUUUGCCAGCAGGAUUCAAUUAUUUUAACUCAGGAGAGAUGUUCACUUUACUGUCAGUAGCUGACUGACUUUCUCUUUCAGUAUAUUUCUUCCACAUGCCUCCUUUUCUUCACAGUGUUGGGAAAUUAAGGUGUUUGCGCUUGUAAAAACAUUAUAAUAAGGCAAUUUACAGUA
rnacentral:lncRNA from 1 species